CAAAAAGCUAUGGAUUCCUUCAAAAUUGAUAAAGAUCAGAUUUGACUGGGGGAGAUCUCCUGAAAAAAUUUGACCACAGACAUGAAUGAAGAAACCAAGAGACUCUACAAGACAGGUCCACUCUCCCACCAGAUACAUGCCAAGUUCUACCCACAGAAGGCCCUACAGAUACGCCAGCCCCUGCACUAGUUCCAAGGACACCAACUAGGAGAAUGAAGGCUAAGGAAUCUGAAGAACACUG